GUAGUCAACAUGCCCAAAGGACGUGGAUAACCUCGGGAAACUGAGGAUAAACCGCGAUAGGCCAAGGUUUCUGGAAUGAGCCAUGGCCGAAAUCUAUAUGGCCUUUGGAUUGGACUGCGGCCGAUCAGGCUGUUGGUGAGGUAAUGGCCCACCAAACCUGUAACCGGUACGGGCUUUGAGAGAAGGAGCCCGGAGAUGGGCACUGAGACAAGGGCCCAGGCCCUAUGGGGCGCAGCAGGCGCGAAACCUCUGCAAUAGGCGAAAGCCUGACAGGGUUACUCUGAGUGAUGCCCGCUAAGGGUAUCUUUUGGCACCUCUAAAAAUGGUGCAGAAUAAGGGGUGGGCAAGUCUGGUGUCAGCCGCCGCGGUAAUACCAGCACCCCGAGUUGUCGGGACGAUUAUUGGGCCUAAAGCAUCCGUAGCCUGUUCUGCAAGUCCUCCGUUAAAUCCACCUGCUCAACGGAUGGGCUGCGGAGGAUACCGCAGAGCUAGGAGGCGGGAGAGGCAAACGGUACUCAGUGGGUAGGGGUAAAAUCCAUUGAUCUACUGAAGACCACCAGUGGCGAAGGCGGUUUGCCAGAACGCGCUCGACGGUGAGGGAUGAAAGCUGGGGGAGCAAACCGGAUUAGAUACCCGGGUAGUCCCAGCUGUAAACGAUGCAGACUCGGUGAUGGGUUGGCUUCGAGCCAACCCAGUGCCGCAGGGAAGCCGUUAAGUCUGCCGCCUGGGGAGUACGGUCGCAAGACUGAAACUUAAAGGAAUUGGCGGGGGAGCA
rnacentral:rRNA from 1 species